UUCCACAGCUUUCUUGAACU
rnacentral:miRNA from 5 species